GAAAAGAAAGCAAAAGCGAUUCCCCAAGUAACGGCGAGUGAACAGGGAUAAGCCUAGCGCUAAGGCUCGACAGGAUGGCGUCUUCGGGCGUCGUCUUUACCGAUAAGGCUGUCGAGCGGUGCAGCGUUACAAACCGCGAUGUUUAGUGUGCCAUUGGUGGUAAUUGAAAGAUUGCCACUCCUAGCCUAGCAUGCAAGUUCCAUUGACUUGGACUAAUUGUAAAUGAUUGCGCGUUCGGGGCAACUUGGGCGUGCGAUUGAGCCAGAGCGGGUGUAAGCCCCAUACCGUGCAGGCAUUGGCAUCACGAAUUGUGGAGGGCGUGUAAAAGCGUCCAUUUGUUAGAGUCGAGUUGCUUGAGAGUGCAACUUAAAGUGCGAGGUAAACUACUCGUAAGGCUAUGCAUAAUACGGCUACGACACCGAUAGCAAACAAGUACCGUGAGGGAAAGUUGAAAUAGAACUUUGCAGAGAGAGUUAACAGGGCGUGAAACCGUUAAUUGGCAAACGAAUCGGAGCCACGAAGUCGUUUCGUCGUUGAGUCGGGGCUGAGUUCAGCGCGUGUCGAGAGGCGCGCGUGUAUUCUUGGUCUGGCCAACUUUGUAAGCGUACACUGCAACUAGUUAGACGAUUGGCCAUGGGCACAGCUGGCAAGCCGAGCAAUCGGCUCGUCUGCGAUGCAUUUGUUUACUCGUGUUAGUAGUGGCGCGGCAGUGCUUCGGCGCUGUUGUGUUGCUUGGCGCGUUGUAAGUGAACUAUGGCCAAAUACUGACUAGUGAAAUGAAAAUCGUCCACUGGACGUUAGAGAAAAUGCGGCUAGUUGGACAAGUUCCUACACGUUCAACUGUUUGGUCUAAGCUCGGCGCUUUUGAAUUUAGACUUGCUAGCUACCAGUGGGGCAACUCCUGGUGCUAGUAUAGCUUCUAUCUAAUCGGGCGUUGACUUGGCCUAGCAUUGUUUGAGCGCGAACCGAUUGGGCGCUUGUUCAAACUAGUUCGUAAU
rnacentral:rRNA from 1 species